rnacentral:lncRNA from 1 species
CCAUGGCCUAUCAUGGAAAUACCAAGAUACGGAAGACAAAAUUUAACCAGAACUGGGAAAGCAAGAUAGCUCCACAGCUGAAAGAUUAGACAUCUCUCUGGGGGACCAGCUCUGUUCCACAGCCUGCUGGAAGGAGGAGAGGUCUCCAGGGGACAAGGGACAGGACUUCAGCCCCACAGGAGCGCUCCACUCCGAGGAUGCACUCUCUAGGCAGGAAGAAGACGGGGUGACUCCUCAUUGCCACCGAAGGCAAACAAAAAAUAGCUUCUUACUUCAUCCGCCCUGGACUACCUUCCCAGCCCACUCCUUUGCCCUGGGCCUACAAGGCAGCCACCUAGGCCUGGGCGCUGCGUGUGUUUGAUCCCCUUUGAGCCUUGAUAAUUAUUUGAAAGGUUUGUGUCAAAUCCCAGCCUGAUGUGAUGAAAUAACUCGUUCCCAUUUGGAGAAUAAAACUAUUCCUGGUAGCUUUUUACAGCCUCGAUUAAAAGAUAGAAGUCAGCUAUGCCGAGAAUGAUUGCUGCAGACUUGGGAUAAGGCUUAAAUGGAAACCACAGGUUCAAG